UUAGGUUUGAGCAGAAAGCCCCUUUAUCUGCUGAACCGUCUUGCCAGCUCUGUCUUUAACUUGCACUGUGCUGGAACGAUAGAUGAUGGUGUUUGUGACCAGCAGUCUGAAUUUCAACUGCCUAUUAACAGUGUGACUGUACAGAAAACGAGCCAUCCGCAGAUGUGCCACUGUGAAAAGACCAUCUCUUUUUAGCACGGGGCAGAAGAGCUGAGUUGCAGAGUGGAACACCUACUGAUAUUGUUGGUUUGACCUGGACAAGAACCCAGAGACAGGCUGCCUGCUGUGUGCUUCAUCAGCAAGCAGGAUGCCCCGAGAAGGCAGAGCCCAAGGUCAGUCCUUUGUUUGCCGAAUAUGAGAGAUUCCCUGUGGCAUGUCACACAGGCGGAAGCAGGGCAUCUAGAGAUGACCUACUCAUAAGCAAGGGCAGUCAGCUGGGUUCUCGGAAGGGCACCGGGAACCUCACAGCCAGGGCAGGCACCACCCACUCUGGUACUUCUGCCUUUUAAUCUCACUCCGAGAGAUUCCUCUGUAUGUCUGCCUGCUGAGGUGAAUUGACCUUCACCACAGGUCUGAGAACUAGGGCAACUGGGUGCUCACUGUACAUGGAAAAAUUGCAAAAACACAAUCAGUUAUUUGUUUCUGUGUGUUCUGUUUCUGUGGAUCCCACCAACUCCAAGUGGGAAAUAGUCCUGGAAUAUGCUGCAUUCGUAUUGCAUCUGUCUAGGCUGUCCCUCAUCCUUCAACCCUAAGCAAUGUGAUCUUUAUAAGGCAUUUAUAUAUUGUAUAAGGCAUGAGGCUGUGUCUCAGUAUCCAGGAGGAUAUGCAGAUGCAUAGAUUAAACACAAACCCGAUGCUACCUUCUACUAAAGGUCUUGUAUAGCUUCAGAGCUUGGUAUUGGAGGGCCGCAGGACCUCUCCUCCUGAAGAUGCCAAAAGACACCAUGCCUUGUUUUAUGCUGCCGAUACUUUGACCAAAACAUGCUAGUGCAAGGAAGGUGUGGCACUUUACCCACUCCUCCUCUUUUCUCCUUGCUCUUAACUAUUUUUGACCAAAAAGUGUUCAUUGCCUGAGUAGAAUUAGGUCAGACCGAAACUGAAUAUCAAGCUGACAGAGGGGGAGCUAAGCUAGUGCCAGCAUCGACUAAACGAGGAGUUAAAAAGAAAGUCUCGCUCUGAAUCCAAAUAUGGGAAUUUAGAAGGGAAAGGGCUAAUAUUAGACUGCACAAAAAUUAGUACCAAAAGGUAGAUUCAUUGCCAGGAACUGGGAGUUUUGAUCCAUCUCCGUAUUUUACUGUACAAGAGCCAUACUCUGUGGGUGUCUAAAGGGUCAAACAUUAACUAUUAAGAUAAAAAGUAUUAUUCUUUUAAUAUGGAAGGUCUUGAAAAGCCACCCUCAUCAUUUCUCUUCAAAGACGCGAUCUGACACACGUGACUAUUGCGGGACCAUUUCUCAGGAGUCUUUAUAGAGUCUGCUGCUUUGCCAUCAAGGGAACGGCUCCCAACAGCCUCGCUUUCGUAUAGAAAUAACAAUCUCAUUAAUGAUGCUAAGUUUAUAUUGUAAAUACAUUAUCACCCCUCUCACACCAACUGCUAUGUUAAAAAAUAAUUACUAAUUGGUUUCAGCAAAUGCAUUAUAAAAAGGUGGCUAAUUUUAACUAUUCUCCUCCUCUCCGUUUUAGAACAACAACAACAAC
rnacentral:lncRNA from 1 species